GCAGGGACAGCAGAGAAGGAGAGUAGUAACAGUAGAGUAGUAACAGUAGAGAGUAGUAACAGUAGAGUAGUAACAGUAGAGUAGUAACAGUAGAGAGUAGUAACAGUAGAGUAGUAACAGUAGAGAGUAGUAACAGUAGAGUAGUAACAGUAGAGAAGGAGAGUAGUAACAGUAGAGAAGGAGAGUAGUAACAGUAGAGUAGUAACAGUAGAGUAGUAACAGUAGAGUAGUAACAGUAGAGUAGUAACAGUAGAGUAGUAACAGUAGAGAAGGAGAGUAGUAACAGUAGAGUAGUAACAGUAUAGUUGGAGAGUAGUAACAGUAGAGUAAGAGAGUAGUAACAGUAGAGAAGGAGAGUAGUAACAGUAGAGUAGUAACAGUAGAGUAGUAACAGUAGAGAGUAGUAACAGUUGAGUAGUAACAGUAGAGAGUAGUAACAGUAGAGAAGGAGAGUAGUAACAGUAGAGAAGGAGAGUAGUAACAGUAGAGAGUAGUAACAGUAAGAAGAGUAGUAGUAACAGUAGAGAGUAGUAACAGUAGAGUUGGAGAGUAGUAACAGUAGAGUAGUAACAGUAGAGUAGUAACAGUAGAGAGUAGUAACAGUAGAGAGUAGUAACAGUAGAGAAGGAGAGUAGUAACAGUAGAGAGUAGUAACAGUAGAG
ensembl:lncRNA